GAUGAACGCUGGCGGCGUGCCUAAUACAUGCAAGUCGAGCGAACGGACGAGAAGCUUGCUUCUCUGAUGUUAGCGGCGGACGGGUGAGUAACACGUGGAUAACCUACCUAUAAGACUGGGAUAACUUCGGGAAACCGGAGCUAAUACCGGAUGAUCUUUUGAACCGCAUGGUUCAAAAGUGAAAGACGGUCUUGCUGUCACUUAUAGAUGGAUACGCGCUGCAUUAGCUAGUUGGUAAGGUAAAGGCUUACCAAGGCAACGAUGCAUAGCCGACCUGAGAGGGUGAUCGGCCACACGGGAACUGGGACACGGUCCAGACGCCUACGGGAGGCAGCAGUAGGGAAUCUUCCGCAAUGGGCGAAAGCCUGACGGAGCAACGCCGCGUGAGUGAUGAAGGUCUUCGGAUCGUAAAACUCUGUUAUUAGGGAAGAACAUAUGUGUAAGUAACUGUGCACAUCUUGACGGUACCUAAUCAGAAAGCCACGGCUAACUACGUG
rnacentral:rRNA from 1 species